AUACGUAGGUGACAAGCGUUAUCCGGAUUUACUGGGCGUAAAGGGCGUGUAGGCGGUCUUGCAAGUCAGAAGUCAAAUUCCUGAGCUCAACUCGGGCGCUGCUUCUGAAACUGCAGGACUUGAGUGCUGGAGGGGAUAGCGGAAUUCCUAGUGGAGCGGUAAAAUGCGCAGAUAUUAGGAGGAACACCGGUGGCGAAGGCGGCUUACUGGGCUUUUACUGACGCUGAGGCUCGAAAGCGUGGGGAGCAAACAGGAUUAGAUACCCUGGUAGUCCACGCUGUAAACGAUGAUUACUAGGUGUGGGGGGACUGACCCCUUCCGUGCCGCAGUUAACACAAUAAGUAAUCCACCUGGGGAGUACGGCCGCAAGGUUGAAACUCAAAUGAAUUGACGGGG
rnacentral:rRNA from 1 species